AUUGAACGCUGGCGGCAUGCCUUACACAUGCAAGUCGAACGGUAACGCGGGGCAACCUGGCGACGAGUGGCGAACGGGUGAGUAAUAUAUCGGAACGUGCCCAGUAGUGGGGGAUAGCCCGGCGAAAGCCGGAUUAAUACCGCAUGAGACCUGAGGGUGAAAGCGGGGGAUCGCAAGACCUCGCGCUAUUGGAGCGGCCGAUAUCAGAUUAGGUAGUUGGUGGGGUAAAGGCCUACCAAGCCGACGAUCUGUAGCUGGUCUGAGAGGACGACCAGCCACACUGGGACUGAGACACGGCCCAGACUCCUACGGGAGGCAGCAGUGGGGAAUUUUGGACAAUGGGCGCAAGCCUGAUCCAGCCAUGCCGCGUGCGGGAGAA
rnacentral:rRNA from 1 species